rnacentral:rRNA from 1 species
GUCUACGGCCAUACCACUCUGAAUGGGCCUGAUCUCAUCUGAUCUCAGAGGCUAAGCAGGUUGUGCCUGGUUAGUACUUGGAUGGGAGACCACCUAGGAAUACCAGGUGCUGUAGGUG